AGAGUUUGAUCCUGGCUCAGGAUGAACGCUAGCUACAGGCUUAACACAUGCAAGUCGAGGGGCAGCAUGGUCUUAGCUUGCUAAGGCUGAUGGCGACCGGCGCACGGGUGAGUAACACGUAUCCAACCUGCCGUCUACUCUUGGCCAGCCUUCUGAAAGGAAGAUUAAUCCAGGAUGGCAUCAUGAGUUCACAUGUCCGCAUGAUUAAAGGUAUUUUCCGGUAGACGAUGGGGAUGCGUUCCAUUAGAUAGUAGGCGGGGUAACGGCCCACCUAGUCAACGAUGGAUAGGGGUUCUGAGAGGAAGGUCCCCCACAUUGGAACUGAGACACGGUCCAAACUCCUACGGGAGGCAGCAGUGAGGAAUAUUGGUCAAUGGGCGCAGGCCUGAACCAGCCAAGUAGCGUGAAGGAUGAAGGCUCUAUGGGUCGUAAACUUCUUUUAUAUGGGAAUAAAGUAUUCCACGUGUGGAAUUUUGUAUGUACCAUAUGAAUAAGGAUCGGCUAACUCCGUGCCAGCAGCCGCGGUAAUACGGAGGAUCCGAGCGUUAUCCGGAUUUAUUGGGUUUAAAGGGAGCGUAGGUGGAUUGUUAAGUCAGUUGUGAAAGUUUGCGGCUCAACCGUAAAAUUGCAGUUGAAACUGGGAGUCUUGAGUACAGUAGAGGUGGGCGGAAUUCGUGGUGUAGCGGUGAAAUGCUUAGAUAUCACGAAGAACUCCGAUUGCGAAGGCAGCUCACUAGACUGUUACUGACACUGAUGCUCGAAAGUGUGGGUAUCAAACAGGAUUAGAUACCCUGGUAGUCCACACAGUAAACGAUGAA
rnacentral:rRNA from 1 species